rnacentral:rRNA from 1 species
AUUGAACGCUGGCGGCAUGCUUUACACAUGCAAGUCGAACGGUAACAGGCCGCAAGGUGCUGACGAGUGGCGAACGGGUGAGUAAUGCAUCGGAACGUGCCCAGUCGUGGGGGAUAACUACUCGAAAGAGUAGCUAAUACCGCAUACGAUCUAUGGAUGAAAGCGUGGGACCGUAAGGCCUCGCGCGAUUGGAGCGGCCGAUGUCAGAUUAGGUAGUUGGUGGGGUAAAGGCUCACCAAGCCAACGAUCUGUAGCUGGUCUGAGAGGACAACCAGCCACACUGGGACUGAGACACGGCCCAGACUCCUACGGGAGGCAGCAGUGGGGAAUUUUGGACAAUGGGCGCAAGCCUGAUCCAGCAAUGCCGCGUGCAGGAAGAAGGCCUUCGGGUUGUAAACUGCUUUUGUACGGAACGAAACGGCUCUGGUUAAUACCCGGGGCUAAUGACGGUACCGUAAGAAUAAGCACCGGCUAACUACGUG